rnacentral:lncRNA from 1 species
UAAUAACCUUAAUUGAAAGAUGGCAACAUUUGAAUUGAAUAAUCUAUUAGACUCUUCAAGUCUUAUCUGUAUAUUUUUGUAUUUUAAAGCUUCAUCACAUUUUGGUAACAUUUAGAACAACAUCUCUAUGAGAUACUACUUUUAACUCAUUAAAAUAUGAGUUACUACUCUAUGCGUAGAACAUCUCUUAAUGCGUAAAACUUUGGUUUAAUUUCUCUUUUCCUUGCCUUCCUGCUUCGACGUGAUUCAAAGGUCCCUCCCGUCCAAUUUCUAGCUUCCUUCUUUGCUUCUUUGGAGUUAAAGAGUGUAUCAAGAAGCCAUAUGUUACAAACGAAUACUCCCCUACUUCGAUUCGUCGUUACGUGUUGUCGCAAUUGACGUGUGUUGAAAGGAUUGUCAAGAGAAUUGGCUCAGGUAUGUUAAGACUAAGUUUUUCCUUCAUUUUAGCAUGAUCGCGUCAUUACACAAGUUUGAUAACGAGCCAUAAAAAAAAAUUCAUAUCCCAGAAUUUACGUAUAUUUUGCUAGUCUCACAAGUUUCUUUCAACGUAGUUAAAAGUGUUUGUUAUCUGAAUUGGUCCAUAACUUUUGCACGUUUGAAACAUAUGUAUGAUUCAAUUAUUUUCUAAGUCUCAAUGACACGUUUAGACAGUUUAGCUAGGCGGUAUCAAUCGGCUUAUGUUCUUUUAGAAGAAAUUGAUUCAUUUCCUGUAGUCAAACAAAAAAUAUUAACUGAUCCCACACUACACACACAACCCAUAUAUAAGAAGUCCUUAGGCCUACUGAUUAAGUCGUCCAAGAUCCACUUGCUAUUCAUGAGCUGAAGAGUUAGCUUUGGAUUAUUUGAGAAAAAAAAUGAUUUGAUAACUAACUUCUUGUUCAUUUUGGCAUGUGUUUUUUUUUGAUAUUUUGAGUAUUUUCUUCUACCAGUCAAGAGAGCAGAGAAUUUAUAUAUACAGUAUUAAUGUAUUUUUACUACCAUCGAGCUAUAAUCGAUGGGCAGGUCCUUAUUGAGCAACCUCUGAUCAGAUGGUAAGUUAUAUACCGAGCCUGCUGUGGCCGAGCGCUUAUGAGCAAGUCCAGUUGGUCGAGAUACAGAGCCUAGUACGGCCGAGCGCCUAUGAGCGAGCCUACUACAGCAGAACAUAUAUAUAUAUAUAUAUAUAUAUACCAAGCCUUAUAGGGCCGGACAGCUAUUUUACUCACUAUAUUGAGAGAGUUGAGUCAAUAUCAACUGACGAGCAUAUCCUCAGAUUAUCUUUGAUCCCCAGUUGCUUUCAGUUAUUAUAUUAUCAGUUCAGUUUCAGCUUCAGUAUAUUGUCUUACAUACUCGGUACAUUAUUUGUACUAACGUCCCUUUCUGGGGGGGCUGUAUUUCAUGCGUGCAGGUUCAGACAACAGACGGGUAGACCUCCCUAGUAGGUAUUUGCCCGAGUUCAGCUUUAUCGGUAAGCUCCCCGUCCUACGGAGUUGCCGGGUCUAGAAGUUUUGGUGUGCAUCUUGUGUAUAUAUGUAGAUAGGAUAUGGGUAGGCCGGGGCCCUGUUCCGAUUACAGUACAUCUAUCAGUAGAGGCUUGUAGACAUAUCCUGUUAGUUAGUGCAGUAUGUUGGGCCUGUAGGCCCUGUAUGUAGAUUUUGUUGUCUUGUCAGUAGUAGUAAUUAUGACGGCCUUGCCAGUCCAACCUUAUGUUGACAUUUAGUCAGUGUUAGUCUCUAUUCAAUUUUAUAGUUUGCAUCGCAUGUUAUCUUGUAAUGUGGCCCAUGGCCAAAGUAUGACAUUACAUGUUCAGAGACUCUUAGUCGCAAGUGAUACGUAAGGAUAAGUGAGGCACUGAGUGCCGAUCUCGCCCCUAGGCUUGGGGCGUGACACUUGAUUUCUUCAUCAAAUUCCUUUUUCGUAUGCAACGUCCCCAUAUUCUUUGAUGGCUUGGGAAAGCGAAAUCAAAUCAUUAAUCAUAAUAGUUAAUUGUUUGGAUUAGGUAUUAUUGAAAUCAUAAUAGUUAAUUCUUGUUGACUUGCCUUCAGAAUCAAUACCUCUAUUCAAUCACAUAAUGGAUCCUAAUCAACAAUCAUCCCAAGUGACCC